rnacentral:rRNA from 1 species
CCUACGGGAGGCAGCAGUGGGGAAUAUUGCACAAUGGGGGAAACCCUGAUGCAGCAACGCCGCGUGAAGGAAGACGGUUUUCGGAUUGUAAACUUCUGUUCUUAGUGAAGAAUAAUGACGGUAGCUAAGGAGCAAGCCACGGCUAACUACGUGCCAGCAGCCGCGGUAAUACGUAGGUGGCAAGCGUUGUCCGGAAUUACUGGGCGUAAAGGGAGCGCAGGCGGGAAGCCAAGUCAGCUGUGAAAACUACGGGCUUAAAUUGUAGACUGCAGUUGAAACUGGUUUUCUUGAGUGAAGGAGAGGUUGGCGGAAUGCGGGGUGUAGCGGUGAAAUGCAUAGAUAUUCGGAGGAACACCGGUGGCGAAGGCGGCCAGCUGGGCUUUAACUGACGCUGAGGCUCGAAAGUGUGGGGAGCGAACAGGAUUAGAUACCCGUGUAGUC